rnacentral:rRNA from 1 species
UACAGAGGUCUCAAGCGUUGUUCGGAUUCAUUGGGCGUAAAGGGUGCGUAGGCGGUCGGGUAAGUCUGAUGUGAAAUCUCCGGGCUCAACCCGGAAAUGGCAUUGGAUACUAUUCGGCUCGAGGUCUGGAGGGGGGACUGGAAUACUUGGUGUAGCAGUGAAAUGCGUAGAUAUCAAGUGGAACACCAGUGGCGAAGGCGAGUCCCUGGACAGAUCCUGACGCUGAGGCACGAAAGCUAGGGGAGCAAGCAGG